CGCGUUGACGUGUUCGUGGUUGCGAUGACGGCUUCGACGUCGGCCGACAUGGAAUCGCGAUGGCGAUCUGCUCUCUCGUUGCGACGUUGGCGUUCGCAUUCACGCUUGUUGGCCGACGUCGGGCUAGCUCCUCCUCUGUCGGUGGUACACGCUUUCCCAAAGAAGUAAAAAUGCGGUUUUCGGGUAUGUUUUCGGCCUUUCUUUCGUACUCGAAACGGCGACCGAAAAUGUGUACGAGAUACAAAGACUUUUCGGACGAUAGCCCGAAGCCGACCCGAACGCCGCCGAAUGUUUGAUUUUCGGCGUUUAAAACCGGUUUUUCGGUGCGGCAGACGUGGUCGGACCACAAAAGAAAAAAACAGCUCUUCCCCCUCUUCUGCCCUCGACAAAAUUAUAUAUUUUGCUGCUCUCACGCUUGCUCUCGCUAUCGCUUUUUCCAUGUACACCAUUGUUCACAUUUUUAAUUCGCUCGCUCUCAUGCAGGUGUACGCGUCAUUCUGUUUAACGCGCCUUUUCUUGUUCGUACUUCUUCUGGUGAAGUUGUCAUCCUCAGUGUUUUUUUCCGGUGCGUGUUUUUCUAUGGAAAGUUAGGAAGAAAGUUUUGGAUUAGAAGUUGAUUAUAUACAAUUAAAGUGUUACCUGUUCUGAAUCCUCCGCGUUACCCGUUGAGCUAUUGCAGCCUUGGUAUCGUGCUCCGUUACGAGAAAGGUUUUAUGAAGUGUAUUGUCAAUUUGUUUGUUGCAGCAAAAUGUUUAACCAGACCGGUGCGCAAGAAGAAGAGCGAGCAGAGCAAAACUCUAGUGCACUGAACAACCGAAAAAGUACAUCUCCGCAGUCUCCGAAAUGUUCUUGAAGAUCAGUGAUGCACUGGGAAGGUUAUUAAUCCCGCGCCAUAAUUAAACAUUUUAAGCGUUUUGGAAUUGCCACCCCUUGCUCCGCUUCAUUAUUCCCCUCCGCAAACGCCUACCAACUCUGGUGGUAUGUUUACGCAAGCGCUACGGUGGAGCUCGAAUGUACUAAAAUUUAAUUUAAAAUAAUAUAAACUAUAUGUCAUAAUGUUUCAGAAACCAACCCAUCUACUCAACAACCCUGUUCACGUAACAGUUUUUCGGUUCCGGCAGCACAAUUCGGUAUGUUUCAUCAAAGUAAAUAUUUUACAUUGUAUUUAACCUUAUAUCUUUUAUCAUUUCCUGUAAACGAUGACAUAAAUAACGAUGGUAGCCUCUUUACUAAUGGUAAGAAAAUUUACUGACAAAAUAUAUAAUUUUAUCCAUCACAAUGCUAUUUUACAUUAAUUAUUUGUAGCACCGAAAAAACAUAAAAUAUGCACUGAAUCGAAUACGACUAAUAAUGAGUUGAAAAUUCUAAUUGAGCAAUUCAGUGCAAAAUUACAAAAAAAAAA